rnacentral:tRNA from 1 species
GGCUGGGUGGCUCAGUUGGUUAGAGCAUUGUCUCCUACACCAAAAGAUUUGGGUUCAAUUCCCGGUUAGGGCA